rnacentral:rRNA from 1 species
CCAAUAGCGUAUAUUAGAGUUGUUGCAGUUAAAAAGCUCGUAGUUGAAUUUCGGGGUUCAUCCGUUGGUCGGGCUUUUUGGUCUGUACUGGCGUGAUGGAUUCCUACCUUCUGAAUAACCAGCAUGUCAUUAAUUUGGUGCGCUGGGGAAGCAGGACUGUUACCUUGAAAAAAUUAGAGUGCUUAAAGCAGGCUAUCGCCUGAAUACAUUAGCAUGGAAUAAUGAAAUAGGACGGCAUGGUUCUAUUUUGUUGGUUUCUAGGAUCACCGUAAUGAUUAAUAGGGAUAGUUGGGGGCAUUAGUAUUCAAUUGUCAGAGGUGAAAUUCUUGGAUUUAUUGAAGACUAACUUCUGCGAAAGCAUUUGCCAAGGAUGUUUUCAUUAAUCAAGAACGAAAGUUAGGGGAUCGAAGACGAUCAGAUACCGUCGUAGUCUUAACCAUAAACUAUGCCGACUAGGGAUCGGACGAUGUUAAUUUUUUAAUGACUCGUUCGGCGCCUUACG